UAUUGUAUAUAUCAACCAACGUAUUAUUAAACCAUUGAGCAGAGAUUGAUGAAAUAUUAACGUACAAUAAUUCCUCCAAAAAUUUCUUCUAAUCAUCGUCCGCUGUGUGCCAAUCUAAAUUUGCUAAACGGGAGAAGAACUAAGGACGCUUCACAGUCUUCGUGAGAUAAUUUUAAAUAUUUAAAAGCGGCAUUUACUUUCCAUUUUUGUAAGCACAUGUGAGCGGCACAGUCUAAAGAAGGAUGAGUGAUUUCAACACACGAAUUGAUAGCACGCGACGUCACGAACGCCCAACCUGGUGUUCGCCAAACACGAUCUAUCGAUAUUAGUUGGCAACAACGACUUGCUCAUCAACGCCAAGUACAUCGCUUAAGGAUGAAACUCGAUCAGUUUGACGAACUUGACGACUUAUUCUUUUUCAGUGUUAUAUACUUAUUCUUCCUCCUAAUUUUAAACCUUCUUAAUAAUUACUCUUAAUAUAUAACCACUUUAAUAACAACUGCUCAACCUUAACUAGUAAAAAAAAUUAUUUUGAUAAGACGAGAAGCGAACGUCAUCAAAAAGACAUAAUUAGCCAGGAAAUUUUAUUGAUACCGAGAGUACGCAUGCAGCAAACGAGAAUUCUCAGGACACAAUUAGGUUUACGGCCACACCAUUGCACGUGUAAUUCCUGCAACAUGAAUAAUUCUAUCAACUUCCCGAGAAUCUGUACCGAUAUUAAUCGAGAAUAAUCGCCGUGGAUCCCCUUUCUCGCUAGCAAAUACGCUGACCAUUAGCGUUCAUAGAAUCAUCGAACGUGCUACUUCAUUCCACGUAUUUCAGAUGUUUCAACGUACAUGAGCAAUAUAUACCAUGCCAAAUUGUGAAAUCUUAUCGCUCAAUAACGAAGAGACCACGUUACUCGUUAAUUAUAUGCUCAUGAUAAGAUGCUUAUAGAUGCUUAUAAACCUAUGCGUUAUAGUGUUUACACUUAUAGAGAUAUCUUUUAUGAAUAUAUGUACGCUACACGGAAUGGUUUGAUGUCAUUAAUACCGUUAUGAAACUCGACGUAAUAUGUUUAAUUAAUACAUUUAUACACUUAAUACAUUUUCAGAUUGGUUUCAAAUUUUACCUAUACAGUCAUGGCGAUCUUUUGUCAUUACAGCGUUAAUGAAAUUUCAAUAUGUUUUACGUAAUAUCUACAAUAUGGACUUAAAAGUUUUCUAUGCCGUCUAUCACUCGUAAUCAUUAACAAAAUUCUUUGUCGAAAUUAGUAUCAGGAAACUUUCCUACUGGGCCAUUGCGCAUUCAGUUAAGCUCUGAAUGAUUUAUGUGCGUUGAAGCAGAGCUGAACAACGCUAACGUAGCGAAUUGGCUACUAUUUGUAUCUGUUUUCACGUUAAUUGAUAAGAUACGUCCAAAGAUAGAAAUGCUGUGACUGAUGCUAGUCAGAGUAUGAUGAAACCGACUGCAUACUCGACCACACGCUGAUGUAAAAUGAAAUCAGAGUGGAUUGGAACAAUGGGACCACAGAGGAAGCUGAACCGCGGAUAUCAGCAGGAACAAUCUAGCAAGCACGAAAAUUACCAUGCAAUUAAAUUACAAAACUCGAUCGCGAUUUCGUGAUUAGAAAGCUUAUACGUAAAUCAUUCGUACCGAUAUCGGACAAAUAACAAAAUAAUAACUUUGCACGAAUAAAUAGAUUCCCAAGGAUCGAGGGAUUCCUAAGGAAUAAGGCAAACGAGACUCGUGAACUUGACGUUGGUGAUGAAAAUAAAUCGUACUCGAAUAUCAAAUAAUUUAACUGGUUGGCUAUACCUAUCUUCUUUAAACUGACACUGAAAUAGAAAUACGCAAGAACGAAAAUAGAUCGGAGGGAUGAACUUAUGAUAUUCGACAGAGAUUUCGUUUAAUGCUUCAGUAAUGAAUUGGCAAUAUUGUAAUUAAUUAUUGGAUAAAAAUUAUUUUCACUAAAAGAUAUAAUUAUUUGCAAAUUUUAAAAUGAGAUAAAUAUUUCUUGUAUAUUUCGUUUAAAAUAGUAACAGAUUUACAUUUAAUAGUAACAAGGAAUCUAGUAAUAUAUUAAACAUAUAAAUAUGUAAAACACCGU